GACCUGCGGAAGGAUAUUAAUGAAUAUAAUUCGGUCGGCGGGAAGGAGGGAGCUGUCGCUGGCCUUUGGCAUGUGCACGCUCUCUUUGGAACGUUGGUCGUCUUUCAUAUUUUCACCAGUGCACCUAAUGUAGGAUGCCUCUCCUUUGGGAGGGGGGACCUAUGUCUUCUUCAGACACCCCACAGUUAAGAAAGUCUCAGAAUGUUUACUAUCGUCGAGCCACGACUUCCAGGAGACGUGGGUCGGCGAGAUAAAAGUUAUUACAACUUUCAGCAAUGGAUCUCUUGGCUCUCGCAUCGAUGAAGAACGCAGCGAAUUGCGAUAUGUAAUGUGAAUUGCAGAUCUACAGUGAAUCAUCGAAUCUUUGAACGCACAUUGCGCUCCUCGGUGUUCCGAGGAGCAUGCCUGUUUGAGUGUCAGUAAAUUCUCAACCCCUCUUGAUUUGCUUCAAGGGGGAGCUUGGAUAGUGGGGGCUGCCAGAGACUUGGAUUUGUGUCCAGGACUUGGGCUCUCCUGAAAUGCAUCGGCUUGCGAUUGACUUUCGACUUUGCACGACAAGGCUUUCGGUGUGAUAAUGAUCGCCGUCUCCCGAAGCGCAUGAUAGAAGGUCUCGUGCCUCCAACAUGUCGACGAUGCCUCUCAAAGGGCGAUGUCUUCCUUUUUUUAUUUUUGACCUCAAAUCAGGUAGGACUACCCGCUGAACUUAAGCAUAUCAAUAAGCGGAGGAAAAGAAACUAACAAGGAUUCCCCUAGUAACUGCGAGUGAAGCGGGAAAAGCUCAAAUUUUGAAUCUGGCAGUC
rnacentral:rRNA from 1 species